AGGACGAACGCUGGCGGCGUGCUUAACACAUGCAAGUGGAGCGACGAACCGGGGCUUGCCCCGGGGCAGAGCCGCGAACGGGUGAGUAACACGUGGGUAACCCACCCCGAUGACCGGGACAACCCGAGGAAACUCGGGCUAAUACCGGAUGUGCUCCUUCAUCACCAGAUGAUUGCGCAAAGAUAGCUUCGGCCUUCGCAUCGGGACGGCCCGCGGCCCAUUAGCUUGUUGGUGGGGUAACGGCCUACCAAGGCGACGAUGGGUAGCUGGUCUGAGAGGACGAUCAGCCACACUGGGACUGAGACACGGCCCAGACUCCUACGGGAGGCAGCAGUGGGGAAUCAUGCACAAUGCGCGAAAGCGUGAUGCAGCAACGCCGCGUGGGGGAAGACGGGCCUUGGGUUGUAAACCCUUUCAGUUGGACGAAGCUUCGCGGUUAAUAGUCGGCUGGAGUGACGUACUUACACAAGAAGCCCGGCUAACUCGUAGCCACGCAGCCGUCGGUAA
rnacentral:rRNA from 1 species